UGCGGUUAAAAAGCUCGUAGUUGGAUUUCUGUCGGUGAAUGGCGCUCCGCCCCCUGUGGUGAGUAGUCGUCAUGCCCCCGGCAUCCUCCUAGGGAAUGCUGCUGCACUUUAUUGUGUGGUGUAUGAACUAGGACUUUUACUUUGAGGAAAUGAGAGUGUUACAAGCAGGCAUGCGCCGUGAAUACGUUAGCAUGGAAUAAUAGCAUCGGACUUCGAUCCAAUACUGUUGGUUUCUUGGGUCGAAGUAAAGGUGAACAGGGAUUGUUGGGGGCAUUCGUAUUUAACUGUCAGAGGUGAAAUUCUUGGAUUUGUCGAAGACGGACUACUGCGAAAGCAUCUGCCAAAGAUGUUCUCAUUGAUCAAGAACGAAAGUUAGGUGAUCGAAGACGAUCAGAUACCGUCCUAGUCUUAACCAUAAACUAUGCCGACUGGAGAUAGGAGGUCGUUAAAUUGGUGACGCCUUCUGCAUCUUGAGAGAAAUCAAAGUCUUUGGGUUCCGGGGGGAGUAUGGUCGCAAGGCUGAAACUUAAAGGAAUUGACGGAAGGGCACCACCAGGAGUGGAGCCUGCGGCUUAAUUUGACUCAACAC
rnacentral:rRNA from 1 species